GAGGACAUCCUUCCAUUUCCCUCCUACAGCCUGAGCGAUGAGCCCCAGUGGGCGGUGAAGGGAUGGGGGGUGGGGUCUGAGGGAGAAGGGCAUGGAGGAGGGGCUGACACGGAGGAGAGCUUGAGCAGGCCCAAGAAGACAGAUGCUGGCUCUCAGGCGAGUGUGGUGGGAGGAAAGCCGGAUGUCACAGGCGGGGGCCUCUGGCACCUGCCAGCUACAGGGAAGGCAGACAGCCCCGGGAGUGGGGAGAUCACCUUCCUUCUCCAGAAAACAACACACAAAAAGACUGAGUUCCUGGAGGUGACCUUGUGAAGCUGGGGGUGGGAAGCGCAAGUGGAAGAGCCGAGCUCUGGGUCAGGCAGCUGGGCCACGACCUCCACACCCAGGGUAGGGCUGAACACCCGUGAAUGUCGGGGGUUGUCUAUGCGUGCCCUGGCCUAGCUCCUCCUUAGCCAUCCGUGGCUGGGGUCUAGAGCCCCUGCAGGGACAGAGGCUGCUUCCAGACAUGGGUAUGCCGCAGACCACAGCCCCCAGCUCCCAAGUGCAGAGUCUCACAGGCCUGCCCACGUUGGCCCCAGCCCCACCCAGCUCAGCGUGUCCUGUCUCCUGGGGGCCUGGAACGGCCCUCCCAGGAAAGGAAGGGUGUAUGUACACUGAGCUCUAGGGGGAGCUGACAGCGCCCAUUCCUGUCCUGCUGCCUGCAUUAUUCCCUGCACCUAGAGCAGUUACCUAGGAGGCUUACUGGAUGAAUGCACCUAAUUGGACUCUAGCGUGCACUCUCCACUCUUCUUUUUUUUUUUUUUUUUUUUUUUUUUUUUUUUUUGAGACUUGAGUCUCGCUCUUUCGCCCAGGUUGGAGUGCAGUGGCGCAGUCUUGGCUCACUGCAACCUCUGCCUUCCAGGUUCAAGUGAUUCCUCUGCCUCAGCCUUUUGAGUAGCUGGGAUUACAGAUGCAUGCCACCAUGUCUGGCUAAUUUUUUGUGUUUUAUUAGAGACGGUUUCACCAUGUUGGCCAGGAUGGUCUCCAUCUCCUGACCUCAUGAUCUGCUUGCCUGGGCCUCCCAAAGUGUUGGGAUUACAGGCGUGAGCCACUGCGCCCAACCUCCCCACUCCUCUCCCGUCCACACCAGGCACUCUGCUGCUUGGCCUUUGGGCACUCUGCAGCCACCUGUACCUGUGUGAACUGGCACUUGCCUGGCGGUGUCUGUGAUCCACAGGGUGUUUGUGAACAGGUGGACUUGGG
rnacentral:lncRNA from 10 species